GACGAACGCUGGCGGCGUGCUUAACACAUGCAAGUCGAACGGUAGAGCGCCUUCCUUUUUGGUGGUUGUGGAUGGGUGGCGAACGGGUGAGUAACACGUGAGAAACCUGCCUUCUUCUUCUGGAUAACCGCAUGAAAGAGUGGCUAAUACCGGAUAUUCUGAGUCUGUCGCAUGAUGGGUCUGGGAAAUAUAUUGUUUAGGGGGGCGAUGGUCGCGCGGCCUAUCAGGUUGUUGGGGGGGUGAUGGCCUAACAGGGCGGUGACGGGUAGCCGGCAUUGGAGGAUGGGCGGCCAUGCUGGGGAGGAGAGACGGAGAAGACUCCUAGAGGAGGCAGCAGGGGAGAAUAGUGCACAGGGGGAGGAAGGCUGAUGCAGCGACGCGGCGGGAGAGAUGGCGGCCUGGGGGUUGUGAUCCUCUUUCGGGGGAGAAGCAGGACUGCCUAGUUUGUGGGUGGGUUGACGGUAGCUGGAUAAGAAGCGCCGGCUAACUACGUG
rnacentral:rRNA from 1 species